ACUGGAACGCGGGCAAUAACAAACACCACGUGACUGACUGCAGUACAGUGAGUCUAGACGCACGAGAGACUAGUGCUCAGAGCCUCCACGAUGUCCGGCGGAGAGGAGGAGAAAAGAAAAAGAUGCACCAGCGCAUCCCGAAACGGACCCAAGGGCUCAGAGUCGUCAGGGUGGAGACGGCUACUAGAAACCAAUCCAGAGGGGCUGGUGGAGGUUGCUGCUGAUGAUGCCCAUCUCUGAUGUACCGAGGGCCUCUACUUUGGGCCAGUCUCCGCGCCGGCCCAGUGAUGGAUGACCAUUGGCAUGCCAACACCGCACCAUAUUUCAAUUUCCUGCACAGGCAGAGGAAUUCUGAGGGGUUGACCGGAGUUCUGCCGCACAGUGUGGGCCCGCCAGCUGAACCUGCCCGGCAACAUGGAGACACAAGGCCCAAACAGCCAGGAACAUUCCAGAACCCAGGAGCUCUCUCUCUCUGACAUUCCCUCUCUCUCCUUCUCUCUCUCUCUCUCUCUCUCUGUGUCAGCCUUCUUGUUGUCCUCCAGCGAAACAGACUGGGUCACAGCCACAUGGGUGAACACAGGAGAUAGGGCAGGAAUAACACAGUAACAGGCAGUUAAUGAACAUGAUUUGUUUUUUUCCGAUAACAACACACUCUCUCCAGGUAAUAUUAGAUGUUCUCAGUUUUACUAUUAGUUUUUUGGUAAAUGGACAAAUAGGGUUUUCAAGAGAAAACUAUAGUAAUUAUGG
ensembl:lncRNA